UCUUUUAUUUGAAAAUUACAAGGUUAAUAUAUGAACUAAUUUAGCUUUGAAUCUUUAGUCUUUGGGUUAAAACGAAAAUUUGUUGGAGAGAUGUGAGAAUAAGAAAUGAAAAAAAAGCAGUCUUAUAUUUAAUUUCUGAGGGAUGUAGUAUUUAAUCAAAGGUGUAAUCUGGAUUGUUGAUAUCUGCUUGUUUGUAUUUGUUUUGUUAAUAGCAGUUUGUAAUUUGGUUAUCCCUAGACCCGAGCUUCAAUUUUACAAUAGACUAGGAAACUAAAUAAUGUCAUGGUAAUACUCUCUUCACAAUCGUUUUUUGUUUUUAUUUUUUUUCUUCUAAUUAACACCACAGUUUAGCUUCACAUUUUGCAUUCUAGAUCUCAUUGUAUAUGUUACUUAUCUCCAGUUUAUAGUUUGGUUGUGGUGGCUUUUCUUUUCCAUACUUUUCUCACUUUUCCUUACAGAUUCCUGGAAAACAAAGAAGAAUAGUUAAACAGUAAAGCAAAAUACACCCCCCCGAUUUUUUUUUUCAUUUUGGGGUCAUCGUCAUGGAUGUUUCUAUGAAGAGAAGAACUCUACUUAAGGUCAUUGUUCUAGGUGACAGUGGGUAUGUUUUAUUUUAUUUUAUUUUUGCAGUCUUGAUUUGUUUGUAAUUGUCGUAUCCUUAAUUCCUUUUGAUAUUUUGCUUGUAUUUUAGAGUGGGAAAGACAUCAUUGAUGAAUCAGUAUCCUUUAUUUUGAGAUACAUGCUUUGUUUAAGCACAUUAUAUUUGAUUGUUAGUUGCAUUGAAAGACACACAAUGAAAAUUACAUAGGCUGUUGUAGUUUCUUAACUUGUCAUCCAAAUAUGUUUAUAACAAAUUCAACCAACAGUACAAAGCUACAAUUGGAGCUGACUUUGUCACCAAAGAAUUACAGAUUGAUGACAAAUUGGUAACUUUGCAAGUAAGUGAUGAAAAAUCAAGGAAAAUUCUUACACAUUUUUUUUAAAACUAAAAUCCUCACAUUUUACCAAGUGUCUUCUUGUCUGAUAGAUAUGGGAUACACUGGGGCAAGAAAGGUUCCAGAGUCUUGGUUCUGCAUUUUAUCGAGGGGCAGAUUGCUGUGUUAUUAUGUUUGAUGUGAACAUACUCAGAUUGUUGUGUUCUUGUCUGAUAGAUUGCUGUGUUAUUGUGUUUGAUGUGAACAUACUCAAAUCAUUUAAAACAGAUCAUAACAUGUUUGCUGUAAUGUCCCAGCUGCAGUUAUAGCUCCGCAGCGUCGUCAUCUUCGAAACCAGGUUCAUGCCUUGGUUUUGACCAAUCCUGCAACUUUAGUUGAGAUGCAUGCUUAACCAAGUCUUGCUCAUAUUAUGGCUGCUAAGAUUAUCAAACAAGUUUUUUCUAUCCUUCCAGUCUAUGAUAAAAUAGUCCCAGCACUCUUGACUGGUGGUAUUGGGAUCUGCCUCAGAGUUGUGGCUUUACGCCGGGUGUUCCUGCUAAAAUUCCAGGACAUUGACUUCAUAUGUGAAUAUAAAUAUGAUGGAGAGCGUGCGCAGAUUUAAGAAGUCCUCUGUAAAAUCAUUUGUUGUGGAUUGUGAGCUUGUUGCUUAUGAUCGUGUAAACAUGUCCCAAAAGUGUAGCAUAUAUCUAACCCCCAUUAUGUGAUUAUUUGGGAUGUUACCUAGCUUGGUUAUCCAAUACGAAUACUGUAGGUAAGGUUGGCAGUUGAUGCUAUAUUAAUGGCUGAGGGUGCUGAACGGAAGGAGCAUAUGGGUAUUAAGGGUUUAACGAAGCUUCUAGCAGACAAUGUGCCAAAAGCCAUGAAGGAACAAAAAUUAGAGAGCUAUUUCGGCUGCAAGAUUGCCAUCAACGCUAGCAUGAGCAUUUACCACUUUAUUUAUUUUUUGUUAGGAAAUUUAAUUGUUUAUGUUAAUAUUAUAUGCUAUAUACAUUAUUUUAUAUACUUAUGAUAUACUUAUGAUCUUAAAAUAAGGUUAAAGUGUAAAUUUGUUGCCAUGUUA